rnacentral:tRNA from 1 species
CUUUUGUAGUUUAAUAUUAAAACAUUAUACUUUCAUUAUAAAAUUAUUUUUUUCAAAAGU